CGCAUCUGUGCAUGCAGCAUAUCAAUAAGCGGAGGAAAAGAAACUAACAAGGAUUCCCCUAGUAACGGCGAGUGAAGCGGGAAGAGCUCAAAUUUGAAAUCUUAAAGGGUUUCCCUUUACGAAUUGUAGUUUGAAGAAGUGUUUUCUGUUGAGGUUUUGGUAAAAGUUCUUUGGAAUAGGACAUCAUAGAGGGUGAGAAUCCCGUAUUUGACCUUUACUUUCAACUUUGUGAUACACUUUCAAAGAGUCGGAUUGUUUGGGAAUGCAGUCCAAAAUGGGUGGUAAAUUUCAUCUAAAGCUAAAUAUUGGCGAGAGACCGAUAGCGAACAAGUACCGUGAGGGAAAGAUGAAAAGAACUUUGAAAAGAGAGUUAAACAGUACGUGAAAUUGUCAAAAGGGAAGCGUUUGACACCAGUGUUGUUUUUCUGAAAAUCAAUUAAAGAACUGUUUAUGCUAAGUUGUUUAGACUUUAUCAGCUAACUGUUUAGUUUUGAGCUUUUCUUUAAUGCACUUUUCAGUUAACAAGUCAACAUCAAUUUCUUUUGCUGUAAAAAAGCUUGAGGAAGGUGGCUUGAGAUUCGUCUUAAGUGUUUAUAGCCUCUUGCCUAUGCAGUCGGAGAGAUUGAGGUCUGCAGCGUAGAUCCUUCGGGGCUAAAUGCAUUUGUGCUAAGUUAUAGCAUUUUAUAGACAACUUGUUGACUAUGAUUUGUCUUGUAGCUUACUCGCUUAUGUUAUUUUACCUACGCUUAGGAUGUUGACAGCAGUAUAGACUGU
rnacentral:rRNA from 1 species